rnacentral:rRNA from 1 species
AUACGUAGGUGGCAAGCGUUGUCCGGAAUUAUUGGGCGUAAAGCGCAUGUAGGCGGUUUGGUAAGUCGGUCGUGAAAAUGCGGGGCUUAACGCCGUAUGGCGAUCGAAAGUGAUGAAAUUGGGUGCAGGAGGGGGAAGGGGAACUCCCGGUGCAGCGGGGAAAUGGGUAGAUAUUGGGAAGAACACCGGUGGCGAAGGCGCCUUUCUGGACUGUGUCUGACGCUCAGAUGCGAAAGCCAGGGUAGCGAACGGGAUUAGAUACCCCGGUAGUCCUGGCCGUAAACGAUGGGUACUAGGUGUGGGAGGUAUCGACUCCUUCCGUGCCGGAGUUAACGCAAUAAGUACCCCGCCUGGGGAGUACGGCCGCAAGGCUUAAACUCAAAGGAAUUGACGGGG